AAUGCUGUGAUGAGAAAGCUAACACGUAAGAAGAAUCCACUUUGUGUGGUUUCUCCGAUGAAAUAUCUUGUUACGCUUGGCUUCUGAGCAUU